rnacentral:lncRNA from 1 species
AGUAGAGGAAAAAAUUUAGAAAUCUUUUGAUAAAUGAGUGUUUAGGAUUAAUGCAUUUUUAAUAUUGAGAGUAUUAUAACAACAAAGAUUGUAUUAUGAAGAAUGGCAAACCCCCUAAACCCUCCAUUCUUUCCACUUCAUCCUUUCUCUCUCUCUCUCUCUUUUUUUUAUAAGUAAUUAUCUUGUUAUUUAAUUUGAGUUUAACUCUUCAUAUUUGUCUCCUAAAUUUGGCCUUCAGUCG